GCUGACACAUCCCAGCCAAUCUCCAGCAGACCCUCCCUCCCAGACCCUCCCACCUCCUGGACAGCAUCCAUGUUGAAGCUGCCUUCAACAUGGAUGCUGUCCAGGAAGUAGGAGGGUCUGGGAGGGAGGGUCUGCUGGAGCUUGGCCGGGAUGUGUCAG